rnacentral:rRNA from 1 species
AUGGUGGACACGCCCAAAGAAAGCAAUGGCGACGAGACAGCGGAGGAUGACCCCUCCAGGAAGCAACCUAAGCGCCGACGUCAGCGGCGCCGCUCUAAGUCCCGCCAAAGCAAAAACGGUGAUUCCGACACAGGAGAUAACAACACCCUGGACAGUGCCGAAGACAACCGCCUCCAGCAAGAUUUAGCACAGGAGGAUGGAGAAGCCAGCCCUCAUGAGAGAGCAGCAGAUACAGAGGAAGAGGAUAAUAAUUACAUACCUCCCUCCGAAGACGAGGCAAACCUCAAUGAUGACGAAUUUGUCAUGCCAGAGGAUCCCGUCGAACAAGAGCGCUUCAAGCGCCGGCUUAUAGCCACGGCAAAUAGCCUUAAGAAAAAGCAGUAG